AGUGAACGCUGGCGGUAGGCCUAACACAUGCAAGUCGAACGGCAGCACAGUAAGAGCUUGCUCUUACGGGUGGCGAGUGGCGGACGGGUGAGGAAUACAUCGGAAUCUACUUUUUCGUGGGGGAUAACGUAGGGAAACUUACGCUAAUACCGCAUACGACCUACGGGUGAAAGCAGGGGAUCUUCGGACCUUGCGCGAUUGAAUGAGCCGAUGUCGGAUUAGCUAGUUGGCGGGGUAAAGGCCCACCAAGGCGACGAUCCGUAGCUGGUCUGAGAGGAUGAUCAGCCACACUGGAACUGAGACACGGUCCAGACUCCUACGGGAGGCAGCAGCGGGGAAUAUUGGACAAAGGGCGCAAGCCUGAUCCAGCCAUACCGCGUGGGUGAAGAAGGCCUUCGGGUUGUAAAGCCCUUUUGUUGGGAAAGAAAAGCAGCAGGUUAAUACCCCGCUGUUCUGACGGUACCCAAAGAAUAAGCACCGGCUAACUUCGUG
rnacentral:rRNA from 1 species